rnacentral:rRNA from 1 species
GUAGGUGGCAAGCGUUGUCCGGAAUUAUUGGGCGUAAAGCGCGCGCAGGCGGUCCUUUAAGUCUGAUGUGAAAGCCCACGGCUCAACCGUGGAGGGUCAUUGGAAACUGGGGGACUUGAGUACAGAAGAGGAAAGCGGAAUUCCAAGUGUAGCGGUGAAAUGCGUAGAGAUUUGGAGGAACACCAGUGGCGAAGGCGGCUUUCUGGUCUGUAACUGACGCUGAGGCGCGAAAGCGUGGGGAGCAAACAGGGGUUAGAUACCCUGGUAGUCCACGCCGUAAACGAUGAGUGCUAAGUGUUAGGGGGUUUCCCGCCCCCCUUAGUGCUGCAGCUAACGCAUUAAGCACUCCGCCUGGGGGAGUACGGCCGCAAGGCUG